UACGAAGGGUGCAAACGUUGCUCGGAAUCAUUGGGCGUAAAGCGCACGUAGGCGGCUACAUAAGUCGGAUGUGAAAGCCCACGGCUCAACCAUGGAAGUGCAUUCGAAACUGCGUAGCUUGAGUACCAAAGAGGAUCGCGGAAUUCCCGGUGUAGAGGUGAAAUUCGUAGAUAUCGGGAGGAACACCAGUGGCGAAGGCGGCGAUCUGGGUGGUUACUGACGCUGAGGUGCGAAAGCGUGGGGAGCAAACAGG
rnacentral:rRNA from 1 species